GAGUAGCUCAGUUGGUAGAGCGAGUGGCUGUUAACCACCAGGUCGGGGGUUCGAGUCCCUCCUC
rnacentral:tRNA from 1 species